AGUUGAUCCAGAAAUUUUGAACGAUGAUCAAGGCGAUCAGUACUUUAGACUUUUGUGGGCAACACUGGACAAGAAGAAGAGGAAAACUUGUUUAUAUGUAGAUCCUCUGGCAACAAAAUACUAUUAUCACAAUAAAAAGGGGAGAGAAAAGAUUUUUAGUCGACUGAUGAAGGACAACUUCUUUGAGAUGAAAUAUGUUUUUUUCCCAAUUUGUUUGUGGAAUCAUUGGGUGUUGAUAGUGUUGUGCAACCCAAGCAACAAUCUAAAAGGUGGGGCUUAACGCCCAACAAUGCUGCUGUUGGAUUCAUUAAAGGGUUCCGAAUCUGGAAAUGUUGAACAGUUUAUUCGAGGG